GCUUGUGCACACGCCCGGCGGGGCUGAGGUGCCGGUGCAGGCAUUUUGCGCCGGAAAGCCGGUCUGAGGUGCUUCUGGUCGCGGCCCCCGUGAGUGAAUGACACCAGACCAAGCACAAAGGAAAAGAGAAAGAGUUGUGUUGCUGUGGGAAGGAAGCAGCGUGUUGGAAGAGGGCCUUAACGCAGCCGCCUUUCCCAAGAGUUCGGGGAGUCAUUCUGAUGAGCCAUCAGCAGGAACUGAGCUGAUGGAGGAUGGGAGAACCCUGGUAACCGUCAGGCACCACACUCGCGGCUUGGCCUGUAGGAGAUGCAGCACUUCCCUCUACUGGAAGGAGGACCUAACGACAAGGGGUCUUCGACGGGCCCCCCAGAUUGCGCAGCCACAGUACUUCAGAAGGUACUUGAUAUCAAUAUGUGGGCUCUGGAGAGUUAAUAAAAGACUAUAUCAGGCUGCAUUUGCUUUCAAGGACAGAGACCCUGGCAUAUCCCUUUAGUACCUAGCAUGUGGUGUAUAAUAAAUGCUCAAUAAAUGUAUGUUGU